AAUAAAGGAUCUCUGGAGCUUUGCCUUCAAAGCCAGGGCCAGUAGCUUCCCGCUUUUGUUGCCGUGGGCAUAGAAGGAGCUCCAUCGGCAGUUGGACCGACCUAUGUGCUUUUAGGGCUAAUAGGGAUCAGAGUUCUAUCCUGAGGGCUGUGAGCUUUUGAAAGGUUUCCUGCGUGGGGUCCUGUUUAUGUAGGAUCUUCUUCUCAUGUAUGGCGUCUGAUAGGGCGAUCUGUUUGUAUGUUUGCUCUUUCUUAAUUCUAGAUCCCAAUUUGAUCAGGGUACCCCUAAUGACCCCCUUGUGGGCUUCCCAGAUCCAUGAAUCUGAGACCUCUGCUGUGGCAUUGUCUGUGAAUUAGUG